GGAGAGAUGGCCGAGUGGUCGAAGGCGGUUGAUUCGAAAUCAACUGUGCCCUUGUGGCACCGGGGGUUCGAAUCCCUCUCUCUCCG
rnacentral:tRNA from 1 species